rnacentral:tRNA from 1 species
ACGGAACUAGCUCAGUUGGUAGAGCAUCGGUCUCCAAAACCGAGGGUCGGGAGUUCGAGUCUCUCGUUCCGUG